GAUGAAGAACGUAGCGAAAUGCGAUAAGUAAUGUGAAUUGCAGAAUUCAGUGAAUCAUCGAAUCUUUGAACGCGCAUUGCGCCCAUUAGUAUUCUAGUGGGCAUGCCUGUUCGAGCGUCAUUAAGUCUACUUAAGCCCUGCUUAGUGUUGGGAGACUGCUCCAGCGGUGCUACCCUGUAGCUACCCUGCAGCUCCUCAAAGACAGCGGCGGAGUUGUGGUAUCCUCUGAGCUUAGUAACUUGUACUAGCUUUCGAGUACACCACUUCCCCUGCCGUAAAACCCUUAAUUUUUAAUGGUUGACCUCGGAUCAGGUAGGAAUACCCGCUGAACUUAAGCAUAUCAAUAAGCGGAGGA
rnacentral:misc_RNA from 1 species